GAAAUGCGAUAAGUAAUGUGAAUUGCAGAAUUCAGUGAAUCAUCGAAUCUUUGAACGCACAUUGCGCCCGCCAGUAUUCUGGCGGGCAUGCCUGUCCGAGCGUCAUUUCAACCAUCAAGCCCCCGGGCUUGAGUUGGGGACCUGCGGCUGCCCGCAGGCCCUGAAAACCAGUGGCGGGCUCGCUGUCACACCGAGCGUAGUAGCAAUCACCUCGCUCAGGGCGUGCUGCGGGUUCCGGCCGUUAAACAGCCUUACAAAACCCAAGGUUGACCUCGGAUCAGGUAGGAAGACCCGCUGAACUUAAG
rnacentral:misc_RNA from 1 species